rnacentral:rRNA from 1 species
CCCGGCUCCCCGCCGCCCCCCGCGCCGAUGUGCUAAUGAUUGCGCUGCAUCCGCCCGACGACGCCGUCUACGUUUUUUUAGAACGGAGGCUCAAGAAGAGCCCGGCUUUGAAUUAACAAAGCCAUCAACCGGCCAGGAUUACAUGACUGCCAUUUACAACAAGAAAACAAAGAGCGGAAAGGAAGAUACAUUGUGCUCGGUAGAACAACUCAAAGGCAUAGAACAAUGUCAUCGAACGCCGCUAUGCCGAAACCAGCUAACCUACUAAGGCUAUGGGAGGAAGGCACCACCGUGCAUGUUUUGUGUCACUGACUGUCACCAGAGGGAAAACAGGGGCAACACAUGACCGGACUCCGCCUCCGCAAAGGGCCCCUACCCUUUCACCCGGGCUCGACAGAUGCCGCACCGGCGGCCUGCAGAGUGGUUCACCCUAGAACCCAGAUCAGAAUUCCCAUGUAGCCAAAGGAGGCACCAAGAACACACCCACACGAAACGGGGAGUCGAACACCCAAUCACCGUUGCCGGCUGCAGCAAGGCAGAGCACUAGACGCGAGUUGUCGAAACGAAGGCGCUGAGAAACCCCGGAGAAGGCCGAGAGUAUGCAGCACCACGCAUCGGUCAAGGAUAGGAGCCUCAUAGCCCAUGGCACGAGAGAGGGACUCCCCUCGCACCAGCGGUUGAAGCCCUCCACACAUGGACCCGAGCAAGUUACCGAAGAUGAAGAUCAGACCAAUACAAUCCGCCGUCGAACCACCACCAGCUCCACCACCACUUGAGCACUUCCCUGACGACGCCUUCAGGAAGGAUCACGCCACCAAGGUGCCGUUGUCGCCAUGAAUCGAGGAACUGAGGCUUUCACCUGAGCUGCUGGGUGGGGUGGGAGGUGCAGGAAGCCCACCGAAGCCUUCAGCAAGGAAAACGACGCCCAAAGGCGACAUCUUCAGUGUGGCCGUCGCGCCGGCCAGGGGUUUCCCCCGAAACCGCACCCAACCACCAGAUCCGCACACCCGCCAUCCAGAAAACAGCGACCGGAACCAUCAGGAACAGGGACGGCGCGGAUCGGAGCAGAUCGAGGUUGUGGACGCCGAUUCUCCAAGGUUCAGCCGGCCUACGGGAAGCUGCUGCAGCCGCCGACACCCGCCGCCUCCACGCCGCCCGCGCAGCCGGGGAGGCGGCCCACCUGCACCCUGCGGCGCCGCUGGCCGCCGCCCCGGAUGCCGAGGCUCUCCACGAAGGGUGGAUCCGCCGAGGUCCCCGCCGCCACCUUCAUGGGUGC